rnacentral:rRNA from 1 species
AAUGAACGCUGGCGGCGUGCCUAACACAUGCAAGUCGAGCGAGAAAGUUCCUUCGGGAAUGAGUAAAGCGGCGGACGGUUGAGUAUCACGUGAGAAUCUACCCUUUAGUGAAGAAUACCUUCGAGAAAUCGAAAUUAAUACUGCAUAAGUCCCUUCGGGGAGAAAAGUGGCCUCUUUGCUACUGCUAAAGGAUGAGCUUGCGGACUAUCAGCUAGUUGGUGAGGUAAAGGCUCACCAAGGCUAUGACGGUUAGCCGGCCUGAGAGGGUGAACGGCCAGACUGGAACUUAGACACGGUCCAGACUCCUACGGGAGGCAGCAGUGAGGAAUAUUGCGCAAUGGGCGAAAGCCUGACGCAGCGACGCCGCGUGGAGGAUGAAGGUUUUCGGAUCGUAAACUCCUGUUAAGUGGAAGAAAGUCUGUGUUAAUACCGCAGAAAUGACGGUACCAUUAUAGAAAGCACCGGCUAACUACGUGCCAGCAGCCGCGGUAAU